GACGUAGGGCGCGAGCGUUGUCCGGAUUUAUUGGGCGUAAAGAGCUCGUAGGCGGUCUGUCACGUCGGGAGUGAAAACCUGGGGCUUAACCCCGGGCCUGCUUUCGAUACGGGCAGACUAGAGUUCGGCAGGGGAGACUGGAAUUCCUGGUGUAGCGGUGAAAUGCGCAGAUAUCAGGAGGAACACCGGUGGCGAAGGCGGGUCUCUGGGCCGAUACUGACGCUGAGGAGCGAAAGCGUGGGGAGCGAACAGG
rnacentral:rRNA from 1 species